rnacentral:rRNA from 1 species
UACGUAGGGUGCAAGCGUUGUCCGGAAUUAUUGGGCGUAAAGAGCUCGUAGGCGGUCUGUCGCGUCGGCUGUGAAAACCCGGGGCUCAACCCCGAGCCUGCAGUCGAUACGGGCAGACUAGAGUGCGGUAGGGGAGACUGGAAUUCCUGGUGUAGCGGUGAAAUGCGCAGAUAUCAGGAGGAACACCGGUGGCGAAGGCGGGUCUCUGGGCCGAUACUGACGCUGAGGAGCGAAAGCGUGGGGAGCAAACAGG